UUAAGAAUAUUAUCUUAACAAAAAGAUAAAAGAUGAUGUCACGCUAAAAGUGAUUCUCUCAGCAAAUGGGCUACGGAUUCAAAGUAAACAGGAUGGAUAGGUGUUUUAAAUUUUCAAAAUGUUACUAAAGGUAACCAAGCCAUCAGUGGUAGUUGUCAAGAAUGAGGAA